rfam:Ferroplasma sp. Type II genomic scaffold AMDT4_FER2S00003, whole genome shotgun sequence.
GCCGUCGUAGCUCAGCCUGGUAGAGCGCGUGCUUGGUAAGCACGAGGUCGCGGGACCGAAUCCCGUCGGCGGCU